UCACCUGCUAAAUAGUCGGUCGAUCAGUACCUUCGUGUCUGUCGACCGAAUCAAACGACUUUUUAGAGGGACAGGCGGUCUUUAUCCGCACGAGAUAGAGCAAUAACAGGUCUGUGAUGCCCUUAGAUGUCCGGGGCCGCACGCGCGCUACACUGAAGGAAUCAGCGUGUGCUUUGUUCCCCUGUCCGAAAGGACCGGGUAACCCGCUGAACCUCCUUCGUGAUGGGGAUAGGGGCUUGUAAUUGUUCCCCUUGAACGAGGAAUUCCCAGUAAGCACGAGUCAUCAGCUCGUGUUGAUUACGUCCCUGCCCUUUGUACACACCGCCCGUCGCUACUACCGAUUGAAUGAUUUAGUGAGGUCUUCGGACCGGCCGCCGUAGCGAGUCUUCGGAAACGCAACGGAUGGCGGGGAAGAUGACCAAACUUGAUCAUUUAGAGGAAGUAAAAGUCGUAACAAGGUUUCCGUAGGU
rnacentral:rRNA from 1 species